rnacentral:rRNA from 1 species
UACGUGAGAAUCUGCCCUUAGGAGGAGUAUAACUGCUGGAAACGGCUGCUAACACUCCAUAUGUCGAGAGAUGAAAAUUUAUUGCCUAAGGAUGAGCUCGCGCCUGAUUAGCUAGUUGGUGAGGUAAUGGCUCACCAAGGCCACGAUCAGUAGCUGGUUUGAGAGAACGAUCAGCCACACUGGGACUGAGACACGGCCCAGACUCCUCCGGGAGGCAGCAGUGAGGAAUUUUCCGCAAUGGGCGAAAGCCUGACGGAGCAAUACCGCGUGAGGGAUGAAGGAUUUUGGUCUGUAAACCUC